CCCAGUGAGAGAUUAUGUCGCUUGAUUUCCAGUUUGUAUUUGCGCUGGAUUUUGACGCUUGGACCAAUUGGAAGGGGGGCCCCCUCCAGCUGGGGGUACUUUGACUGACUAAAUUGUCGUUGCGCUGUUUGGCAAUUGACAUUUUCACGUUGUCGCUGAUGCAAACCUAUUGGGAGGGGGGCCCCCUCGAGCAGGGGGUAUUAGAGAGGCGCUGUUGCUUCCCUCGCAGCAGCGCCCUUCAUACAGAUGACAGUGCCUUAUUGUAAAGCUAUUUAAAAUCGUCAUUGCUGUUGGGUACAUAACCUGUCGUCCUUGGGGGCCCCACCUACUCGGGGGCCCUAGGCAACUGCCUACAUUGCGUACCUUAACGCAACGGGCCUGAGUGGCGCACAACAUCAUCAAAGCCAUGAGGGAGAAAAAAGACCCGAAACCAGUUUCACGGACCCUGCUGGAUGACUCCGAUGAGGCUGGGAUGAAGAACGCUGCCCUGCUACUGCUGCCAAGCUUGUUCAGAGAGGACAGUAAUUUCAUUUACUGUAUAGAGGAACCAGUCAGCCCGAACCCAACCAUCGUUUUCCACGGGUCCCUGAAUGCCCUGAAAGCAGAGAACAUCAGCAUCCAUCUGGAUGGAAAAACCAUUGUCAAAGCAAAAUUGUCCAUCCCAGAAUCAAUUGAAUGUCUGUUCUGUGUUUAUUUUCUUUUCAACGUUUCAUACCCCACGCCAAUAGUUAACACCCUUACCUUUAUCGAAAAAUUCUUGCUAAAAUUGCCCAACAAUACAAAGAUUCCCCUCCCUGUCCUCAAAAUGCAUAACCAAUUAAUGUCCUACAAUUAGAUUACUUAGAAACAUGUUUUUUUUUAAAUUGUCUUUUAUUCAAAGGUGUGUGUGUUAUGUCACUAGGAUUAGAUUUAUUUGUUACACCAGCGCUGUGCAGCCUUGCUAUGUUAUUCCCAGCGCCCUUGUGUGUGUGUGUGUGUGUGUGU